CGUGGAGACAGGUGGUGCAUGGCUGUCGUCAGCUCGUGUCGUGAGAUGUUGGGUUAAGUCCCGCAACGAGCGCAACCCCCACCUCUUGUUGCCAUCAGGUCAUGCUGGGCACUCUAGAGGAACUGCCCCGGUCAACGGGGAGGAAGGCGGGGAUGACGUCAAGUCAUCAUGCCCCUUACGUCCUGGGCUACACACGUGCUACAAUGGCCGGUACAAAGGGAUGCCACACCGCGAGGUAGAGCUAAACCCAAAAAGCCGGUCUAAGUUCAGAUUGGAGUCUGCAACUCGACUCCAUGAAGGAGGAAUCGCUAGUAAUCGCGUAUCAGCACGACGCGGUGAAUACGUUCCCGGGCCUUGUACACACCGCCCGUCACACCACGAAAGCCUGCUGUACUCGAAGUCGCUGAG
rnacentral:rRNA from 1 species